GGACGAACGCUGGCGGCGUGCCUAAUACAUGCAAGUCGAACGAACCRYAACKWGAACUUGUUCUGGUUAAGGUUAGUGGCGCACGGGUGAGUAACACGUGGGGAACCUGCCCUUUAGUGGGGGAUAACAGUCGGAAACGACUGCUAAUACCGCAUAGACAAUUUAACCGCCUGGUUAAGUUGGGAAAGGUGCUACGGCAUCAUUAAAGGAUGGCCCCGCGGUGCAUUAGCUAGUUGGUAAGGUAACGGCUUACCAAGGCGAUGAUGCAUAGCCGACCUGAGAGGGUGAUCGGCCACAUUGGGACUGAGACACGGCCCAAACUCCUACGGGAGGCAGCAGUAGGGAAUCUUCCGCAAUGGACGCAAGUCUGACGGAGCAACGCCGCGUGUGUGAAGAAGGUUUUCGGAUCGUAAAGCACUGUUGUUAGAGAAGAACGGCUACUAGAGGAAAUGUUAGUAGAUUGACGGUAUCUAACCAGAAAGCCACGGCUAACUAC
rnacentral:rRNA from 1 species